rnacentral:lncRNA from 1 species
GGCGAGUAGGAUCCGAAUAGUUCAAAGUCGUAUGCAUAUUCUGGCCUUGAGAAGCUCAGCAAAUUGUCAGUGCCUGACAAAUCCGGAUGAUAGCUAUCUGAACCGACAAAUCCAGAUUGUUCCGGAUCUGGCUGGGGCUCCUGCUCAGGCUCCGGUGGUUCCGGAGAAUAAUAUGCCAUGGGAUCUAGAUCAUGCUGGGCCGCUGUGGCCGAUCCCCCAUGUCACUGCAUGUGCGGGGGGAUUACAACCGACUGGCCUCCGUAUAAAUAUGGUUCCCGCAACUAAAGUACCAUUGCAUAUACUAUUCUGAUGGUUGCGAGUCGGUAGCCAUAACCAUCUGAGGUCUUCGACGAAAUCAAUCGUUCCACAGCGC